rnacentral:rRNA from 1 species
AUUGAACGCUGGCGGCAGGCCUAACACACGCAAGUCGAGCGGAUGAAGGGAGCUUGCUCCUGGAUUCAGCGGCGGACGGGUGAGUAAUGCCUAGGAAUCUGCCUGGUAGUUGGGGAUAACGUCCGGAAACGGGCGCUAAUACCGCAUACGUCCUGAGGGAGAAAGUGGGGGAUCUUCGGACCUCACGCUAUCAGAUGAGCCUAGGUCGGAUUAGCUAGUUGGUGGGGUAAAGGCCUACCAAGGCGACGAUCCGUAACUGGUCUGAGAGGAUGAUCAGUCACACUGGAACUGAGACAAGGUCCAGACUCCUACGGGAGGCAGCAGUGGGGAAUAUUGGACAAUGGGCGAAAGCCUGAACAAGCAAUGCCGCGUGAGUGAAGAAGGUCUUCGGAUUGUAAAGCACUUUAAGUUGGGAGGAAGGGAAGUAAGUGAAAACCUUGCUGUUUUGACGUUACCAACAGAAUAAGCAACGGCUAACUUCGUG